rnacentral:rRNA from 1 species
UACGAAGGGGGCUAGCGUUGCUCGGAAUUACUGGGCGUAAAGGGAGCGUAGGCGGACAUUUAAGUCAGAGGUGAAAUCCCGGAGCUUAACUUCGGAACUGCCUUUGAUACUGGGUGUCUUGAGUGUGAGAGAGGUAUGUGGAACUGCGAGUGUAGAGGUGAAAUUCGUAGAUAUUCGCAAGAACACCAGUGGCGAAGGCGGCUCACUGGCCCGGUACUGACGCUGAGGUGCGAAAGCGUGGGGAGCAAACAGG